CGUGCAGGCGGAUGGGUAAGUCAAAUGUGAAAUCGUUCGGCUCAACCGAACAAUUGCAUUCGAUACUGCUUGUCUUGAGUAUAGGAGAGGAAAGUGGAAUUCCCGGUGUAGCGGUGAAAUGCGUAGAUAUCGGGAAGAACACCAGUGGCGAAGGCGACUUUCUGGCCUAUAACUGACGCUGAAACGCGAAAGCUAGGGGAGCAAACG
rnacentral:rRNA from 1 species